GUUCUGGAUUUCAGGAAGAACGGAGUCCCACCUUCCCCCAUCACCCUGUGUGACUCCCCCGUCACCAUUGUGGAUUCUUUCCGUUUUCUGGGCUCUAUCAUCACCCAGGACCUCAAGUGGGGGCUGAACAUCAGCUCCAUCAUCAAGAAGGCUCAGCAGAGGCUGUUGUUCCUGAGGCAACUGAAGAAAUUCAACCUGCCAAUGACGGUGAUGGUGCACUUCUACACGGCCACAAAUGAGUCCAUCCUCUGCUCCUCCAUCACAUGUUGGCUGCAGCAUGUCACCCGCUCUGUAGAGACUUGUUUACUUCUGGGACCCUUCUAGGGUUCAUUAACAGAGCCUGUGUCCCCCACUGAUUGACUUUGUCAUCCCUUUUUCCACCGAUCACUCCCUUCACACUCCACAUGCACAUACACCUGUUCACUUUCACAUACUCACAACUCACGCUGGUGCGCUUUAUUUUUAACUUUUAUUCCUUUAUUUUUAAAUCGUUUAUUCUAAAUCCUCCUAAACCAUACUCUUAUAUUUUAUAUUUCCAUUGUCUUACAUUGACAACUGCCAAGUCAAAUUCCUUGUAUUUCAUAUUUUGGUAAUACAUGUUUCCUGAUUGCUGAUUCAAGGCGACAUCUAGAGACGAUUCAGGGCACAGACCCGUGACCACACAGCUGACAAUCUACCCAGUGAUUCCAUGGGAAGAUCAAGUGGGAGGUGUGAAGUCAAAGAAGGGUUUUCUCAUAGGAUGUAUAAAGGAGAGAAGAACGGCAGGUUGAUGGGAGCAAACCCAGGCAGCUAGGAAAGGAGGCAGAGCUAUUUUCCGGGAAGAGGACCUAAAAUUUGGCGGACGUGCAUGGGAAGAAAGAACGAACAGCUGACAGACGAGAUCCAGCUGAUAGAAAGCUUGGUUGUGCGGUGCGCAAUAACAUGCCUCUUGCAUCGAUAGUUAGCUUAGUAAAAGUGUCUUCUCAUGAAUUUCUCUAACCAUCUUUCUUUGACCCUGUGGCGUUUUCUACAGAGGUCAAAGAAAAGUGUUUAGGAAUAGCCAUUAUGAGGUGUUUUGACUAUUCAAAUCCAGGCUAAGUCUAAAACACAAUACAUACCCACCUAGUGAUGAUUUAGGAUGUGUGAUUGGCGACCUGUCAGUUUCCAUUCGUUACAUGGAAAUAGGGCUGUCACAAUAACUACUUUUGGUUUUGGAAUAUACUGCGCCCAAAUUAAUUGCGAUAAACAUUAUUAUUGUAAUUUUCAGACAGUUUUGUGCCACUGAUUAAUGACAAUAUAAUAGCAUAAAAGUGUACACUCUUUCAAAGAAAUGUCUUUCUAAUUAGACAUUAGAAACGGAAUGUUACACAUAUUCCGAGAAAGGAAUACCUACAUUUACCUUGUGGGGCUUAAAGCAGGAUCUUUUGGGGCGAUUGAAGGUUGCAUCCAUUUGGCUACAAGCAUGUUCUAUCCGUAAGUGUGCACCAUUUCUCACUAUCAAGGGUAUAUUUGCACUAUCAAAAAGAUUGGCAUGAAGAUCGCGACUUUUAAGCCAAGUCCUUGUUUAUCCUAACUGGCUUUCGAUUUCACGAAAAAAAAACACUUCAAAACAGUGGGUUCACGCCUCCUCUUCGCGUGUGUGUGGAGGCGCUGCCUGAGGCCCACCUCCGCUUACGACAAAAAGAGUAAUGACAGAGGCGUAAGACACAGGAGGAAGUGUUGGUGACAUUCAUUUUUUUAUUCAUUAUGCAAUCUGGAUUGUGCCAUAUCAUAAUGUCAAAUUAACGGUUUUGUUCAUGUAAUUAAACUCAUUAAAAGGGAAAUUAUGUUUUCUAGUGAGGAGUUAAAAUUAACAUCGAAACCAAGACAUAAUAAACGUGGACAUCCGUAUGGAAACGUGGAGUCGGUAAUUUUAAAACCCUUCUGUUUCCUUUCUUUUAAUCUUGGCAGGUUGUCUGCCAUAAAAAGGCACAGAGUCAGAGGCCUCUCUUGAAAAGUCAUAGAUAAUAAAAGUACGAAAUGCAACCAACCAUUGGUUUGUGUACUACAGUUUUCAAGCCAUUCCAUUGUCAUCUCAGUUUUUGGCUGUUGCCAUCUUGAGUUUGAUAACAGGAGUAGUUUAACGAUUAACGCCCAUGAAAUGAAAACUAUGAAGGCAAAUCAAUGUCAAAACUCAAGAGCGCAAAUUAAGGCCAUGCGCGCACAGAAAUCAAACAUUUGCAAACAAAAGUCAGUCUCACUUGAGCUAUUUGGUCGCUUAGGGAACAAAUCUUUUCUCGCUGUUGUUAAUAUUUGACAGUAAGGUCACAGUCACCAUGGUAUCUCUACAUAUAAUUGGUUACAAACCUCAUUUUAGGAAUGCAUAACUCCAGCCAAUCCAAACUAUAGAAGCUAUUUUGCUUUUUUACUGUAAGGAGGCGGAGCCAGUUGCCCUGGUAUCUCUACAUCUAAAUUGGUUACAAACCUAAUUUUUGGAUUGGCUGGAUGUCAUCUCUGUUGAGACUUAUGCAUUCCCAGAACUAUAGAGCCCAUUUCUGCACUAAACUAAGGAUGGGGUUGGAAAGAUUAGAAAAAGGAUGAAAUAAGACAUAGUUCGGUAAAGUUGUCAAGAUAUUCACAGAUUCAGACUUUCCGAUUCAAUUGCUCGUCAGCGAAACCUUAUUUUACCAAUAAGGACCAGUCUGCGAGCUGGAAAAAUUGGUCUAAAUAUGUGGCCAAAGUGAGACUCUAUUGGUAAAAUUAUGCUAAAUUAGGGUUGUAGCUGGUUUUCAAUUAGUCCUUUUCUCAGACUUGUAUACAUCAAGAGCAGUUGCUACCUGAUGAACAGCAGAGAGAAUGCAGGUGUAAUGCUGCGUUCACACCACCUACUCGCGCGAGUAGAUUCCAUGCAAUGUCAAUGCACAAAUGCGUCUGGUCGCGAAGGAGUUGAAUUUUAAAUGAGCGGCGCGAAAGACGUGGUGCGUGGGACAUGAAAAAGCGAAACGAGCGAAGCGAAAUAUUUCAAUUUGGGCAAAAAAUUUGCCCGCCGCUGUCUUGUGAAAGCCAAUCAGCGUUGAGAUGUUACGCUCGCACACAUCUCCAUCGUCCUGCAGCCACAGCGUGAAUACACUUUUAACAAGUAAAGAUAGUUGUGUCUAACCAAGAGAUGCCGGCACCGAGCCGACACAACUGGUCAUCAGACCGGCUGCUGGUCAGCCUGAAGCAGCGCUGGAAGCGGCAGUCAUCCAGACACACUUUCCUGGAGGAGAUGGUGAAAUUCCAGCUGUGUGCGACGAUGGAUGAUGUCAUAAACCCAAACACAAUACCAUUUGCGGUUCUGACGUUUGUGUAAUUCACACAACAAAUAACGAGCAGAAAUAGUGGUUAUUUAUUGCCAUGUUGGAUAGCGGAAACUACAACUGUCUUUACGGAGACAAGCCACGCUCCCUUUCAGGCGCGAAUGAAGCAAAAUAAUUACAACUAGGCGGGCGAGUGUUGCAGUGGUUGCAUUGUUGUUGGCCGUUCAGCAUCAGCUCCUUUUGAGAAGGAGGCUUUCAAUCAAUGUAUGUAACUCUGAAAAGAAUGUGACAGAAUGACGGGGGGAGGGGCACCGCCAGUUGUCGAGUGAGGUUUUUAAAAGCAAAUUAGUGUUUUUGUAUUGCUGCCAUCGGCCUGUAUACGUUGUUUAUGGUAGUUAUGGUUUGCAGUCCUGAGAGAAGUUGGCUUGAGUUGACUAUACAGUUGAAACGUUUUGUUCUGGUAUUUCAUCUGUUCUAUGUAAAUAAAUAUUACUUCCUCAAUGUUACUCCAUCCAUAAUUCCAUCACAAUGAAUAAGUAGAUCUUUAAACCAACAAAUCAGGUCAAAUGUUCGAUGACUUAAGAAGGACCAUACCAGUGAAUUUAACAUCUCUUAGAGGAUCUAUUUACUACUUAGAGCAUAUUCUCAACAAAAUUGUCGACAAAUAAGUGAUGAGGCAAUUUUUCCACAAAGAUGAAGAAACAAGAGUAAAUUUGAAUCAUGAAGGAUUUAAGUACAUUUUGUCAAGCUGAAGGCAGGACCCAAACGUCAAAAAGCAAAAGGACUUUAAUCGUCAAAAAGGUAAAAGCAAAGGCCAAGGGGCAAAAACGCACACAGGAACCAGGGCAAAAAUACAGGCAGGGACCAAGAAACAUCCAGGACAAACGACGAGGAACAUCCGGGACAAUGACGCGACAAGAGACACACUGCUUCAAUGCACUAGGGAGGUGCAGGUGAUUGGACACAGGUGGAAACAAUCAGACAAUCACAGACGAUGACAGGACAAGGCAGGAAGUGAAGUUACCCAGGGAGACAAGAAGCAGAAACUACAAAAUAAGACAGGAAAUAAAACCACACCGUAACAAAGAAACCCAAUACCAAUUGUGACAAUUGGGGAAACUCCAUCUGCCAAGAAAGACAGUUUGAAAGGUUAAAGGAAACAUUUAUUGCCAUAAUAUGUCAGACAUACAAGGAAAUUGACUUUGCAGUUGGUGAAUAACAGCAGACAGUAUGACAAGACAAUAUAGUGGAGGAAUAAAGGAAUAAGUAAUAAAAUAGAGGAAAAAAAUAUAAUAUAAUACUAUGGGUUAGUAAUAUAAGGCAAUGGGUUAGUUGAAUUACACACAAGUGUAUGUUUACUGUUGGUUCAUUCUGCUGUAGCUUUAUGAUAUCGCUACAUGAUAACAUGCUAUUAAAAAAAGCUAGUAGCCUAGCCUUUAUUGUUAGCAGCUUCAAAUUUACUACUCUCCCACCACACUUUUACCAAUCGUAUUCCGUUUGAUUAGUUUUGGGAGAAAAACCUUCACAAUAAUGCAAAUAACUCUUUCGGGCUACAACUGAACAAAAACAUUUCAAAACAAGUGUUUUUUGACAUUUGGAUGCUGUAACUAUAUUUCAGACGGUUGAAUACGUGGUGAAAAUAGGUCUUAGAUGUACCAAAUAUCAGUUUUCUACCUGAAAUCAAUGUUGAAUUUCCUGUUGGUGCUCAAAGGGUUGGUUAUUAGGAUAAAUAUUAAAUAAAUGAGACAGUCAGCUCAAUGUAUGACUGUUGCCGUCACGGCAUGUUAUUGAAAAAUUGAGAGCUGAAACAAUGUUCAAAGAUGACCGGGUGAGGGAUGUGAUGGAGACACAAAGAGCAGGUGCAGCUCAAAGCACAUCCGAUCCCUUUUACAUCCUCUCUAAUUUAACUCAGAUCUGUAAUGAGAAAUCUCAAACACAAGAGGAGACAAAGAUAGAGGUAAAGCAGGUGAAUUCAGUCUUCAGCAAACCAGCUUAGACCGACAGAUAUAAGGGUAAACACUUCACAAGCAAGCAGGGUGCUUCAGAGGGACUUAUACAAAGAAGGUGAUACAAAGAAGGUGAUAGACGGAGAAAAGGGGAAAUGAGUGCUCCACCUCUUUGCCCCCUCAGUUCCUCUCAGGAGGUGUCAGGAGAGGUGUGUAAAGAACCAGCGCCCCAUUUCCUAUGAGAGGGAGCAGCGCGGAAUUUAGAUAACUCAUUUCCAUUUGAGUGGUACAAAGACGAAAAGGCUUGGAGACAAUUAGAAUGAGAGUGUAGCCUCAGUAUCUUGAAUAGUCCUUGAUGAGCGCAAACGAGGCAGUUUGGAUGGGUUAAUCAACCGUAAUCGGAAAGCAGGUAUUGAACAUGCAAUCCUCCACCCCAAAUUAUAAGAUUGUCACUUCCACAAAAGUGCAUCUUUUAAUUAAACAGUGUCCUUUCACUCUGUCUUUUCCUUAUUCAGAAGUGUGAAGCAGCACUGAUUGUAUCAGAUCACUAGGAAGAAAUUGCUUUUCUGCCGCAGCAGGGAUGAUGAAAGGGGUAGGAACACAGAGAAAGAUAGUUUG
ensembl:lncRNA